GAGAAAAGACUGGCAAGAAAAUACAAUGC
rnacentral:piRNA from 1 species